UCGAAUGAGUCAUUUGCGGAGAGUUUCAAAUGAGUAUCUGAAACAAAGACCAGGAAAGGAUUGGCCCUGAUCGAUAUUGUAAGGGAAGUGACAAUGUUUGUUUUUAAGAUUAAAAUGCCCUCAGAUGUUCGAGUUCAGUUAAUCAAUGACUUGGCAGACAUAGAGUA